AUCAACAACCACCACAAAUCUGAAACCCCCGAAACCAAGCCCAUACACCCCUGCUUCGGAUCAAUUAUCCUAAGUCUAGACCCAUUAAAAGCAUACCCCUUCUAAUGUGCACAAUCUAAGCUCCCACGAUCUACAACCCCAGACUUUGCAAACAUAGAUUGGUAGAUAGAUGGAUAAGGUGGAUAGUUCUAUGGAUGGCACAACGAGUUUGAGGGCUAUCAUCAGUGGUGGAGGUCAGGUGGGUCUCUGAGCUAAAGGACUCCAUUUUCCCUCCCUAUGUGGAACUAGGACGGACAAGGAGAGAAAUAUCUUACAGGGUCAUUAUAAUCAUUAUAAAAUUAAGUAUAAUUUAAUUUAAUUAAUUAUUUAUCUUGCUUUAUCUCUCCUUGUCAACAUUGAUACAUAGAUUUAAUUGAUUACCAUGUAUUGCCACGUCAUUCUUCUGUGAAAUGGUUAACAGACAUAGAUGGCAAAAUCACUUUUUGUAAAUAAUGUAUGGUUCGAUGAGUUGAUCAUAAAAAAAUCAGUUUGAUGAUGCAUUUGUAAACCGACCCCUAGUAGAAUGGGGAAAAGUGUAUUUAAUCCUAUAUAUUGAACUAUGAGGGACAAGAUCAAUGUUACUAGAAAAUGUAGUCGAACCAUAAAAUCUCAAAAUUUACCAUUCUGAUCAUCCAUCUAUUCAAUCAAUAAAACUGAAUGAGUUUCAAAGUUAAAUACACAACAACAAAUGGAUAUAAAACAAUAAUAGUAAAUUCAUAUUUUUGUUCACAAAACCAUAAAUAGAUUAUCUACUUAGUGACAAUCUAAUCUGUGGCGGAAUCAGAACAUUUUUAGAGGGGAGUCAAAAUACAUCAGUAAAAAAAUUAUUUAUUGACGCUUGGAGUGCUUCUUUCAAAUUCAUUUUGCUCAAUUAUAGUAUUUCACAACAUCAUAUUUUAACCAUUGUCAACUUUUGAGUUGUGAGUCUAAUGGCUUUAAAUACACACACACACACACACACACACACAUAUAUAUAUAUAUAUAUAUAUAUAUAUAUAUAUAUAUAUAUAUCAAUUUUCCCCGAAAUAUGGGACUAUUAAUUAGACUUUAAAAUUUUUAUUCAACUGAUUCGCUACGUCUAUAGAUAAAUUACAAAUUAUAAUAUUAUAUAUUCAAAACCUUAUAUUCUGGUUCAGAUCAUCUUCCUUGAAGAUAAUUGAGAGGAGUUACUCAAAUCAAGAAAAUGAAUUAAGUUAUUCUUAUUUACAAAAAAUCGAUGCCAAGAUAUGAUUAAGUCAAUAAAACAAAUGAGAGCAAUAUUAAUUAAUUAAUCAUCAAAAUUAUUUAACAUUAUUUUAUCUUAUAGUAAUAUUGUUAAUUUAUUAUAAGUAGAAGGACAUGAGAAAGCAAAUGAAUUAAUAUUAUCUCAUAACAAAGAUCAAGUUUAACUAACAUUAGCAUGCUUUAGAUUCCAGGGUUGGGGGGUCAUAUGACCCCCCNNNNNNNNNNNNNNNNNNNNNNNNNNNNNNNNNNNNNNNNNNNNNNNNNNNNNNNNNNNNNNNNNNNNNNNNNNNNNNNNNNNNNNNNNNNNNNNNNNNNNNNNNNNNNNNNNNNNNNNNNNNNNNNNNNNNNNNNNNNNNNNNNNNNNNNNNNNNNNNNNNNNNNNNNNNNNNNNNNNNNNNNNNNNNNNNNNNNNNNNNNNNNNNNNNNNNNNNNNNNNNNNNNNNNNNNNNNNNNNNNNNNNNNNNNNNNNNNNNNNNNNNNNNNNNNNNNNNNNNNNNNNNNNNNNNNNNNNNNNNNNNNNNNNNNNNNNNNNNNNNNNNNNNNNNNNNNNNNNNNNNNNNNNNNNNNNNNNNNNNNNNNNNNNNNNNNNNNNNNNNNNNNNNNNNNNNNNNNNNNNNNNNNNNNNNNNNNNNNNNNCCUAGUUCCCCCUCUAAAUCUAAUAGUACUAAAUUAGUCUAAAACACGGUCUGAUAGGCAUAAAAAUUAUAACUACAAUAAAAUGUCUUAUUUUAAAUAUAUACAUCGUAAAUCAUUUAAUAACAUAUUUGCAUAAAGCACUCAAGUCAUUGAUAAUAGCAUGUUUUAUUACAAUCUACUAUUUAAGAUUCAAUAAAGGAGAAUCAUUACAUCAAUCAUAACUUAUACUCCAUAUGAAGUCUUCACAAGGAAAUUGUAACAAAAAAUUGAUAUUCAAGAGAAGGUAAAGCAGAUAAGCAAAGGCAUGUACCUGACGCCAAGAUGUCUCUUUCUCUUUAUCAACUUAGGUUUAGUAGAUAAAAAUAAAUUAGAGACAUGAGUUGUAAUUUAUAAUUUAUUAUAUUGAAAGUUGAGGAUAAUAUGAUAAUUAUAAAAAUAGUAUUUAUUCCAAUUUCUUUUCCGUCCAAAUCAGACUUAUUUUGGACUGAAAACUUUGACAAGAAAAGUGACCAAGUUUUCUAUCCAUUUCUUUUCUUUUUCGCUUAUUAAAAAACUCAGAAACAUAUGAAUUGGAAAGAAAACUUAAAUUUUCUGUCCCUUUUUUUUCUUUUUCGUCCAUUUUAAAACUCAGAAAUAGAGUGUUAAUACAUCUUAACAACUCACAUCUGUAAGACCCCAAAUUUUUAUAAAUAAAAUAGAAUUUCCUUUAUUUAUUAUUUUGAAAUAGUAAGGGUUUAUUUGAUUAAUGUGGUUAGUUAUGGGUAAAAUGCGCAAAUAUUUUAAAUAAGCAAGUGGUUAUAAAAUAUUCAUUGUUGUCGGGGAAUAUUCGUUUAGUCGUGGAAUAUUCUUGUUGUCGAGGAAUAUUCGUACGACGACGAAGUCUUUUGUGGGCCCCAUAACGAAAAGCGAUUGGAUGAAGAAAACGACAAGUAUAAGUUGUUUAUAAAUAACAGCGUAGUUGUUACUGUUAAUACUGUUGGAAUACCUGGUGGUUAAAACAUAGGAAUACGCGUUGUUGCACAGUAGCACACGGUAUUGCACCAAUUAUUGAUUCUUAGGUAAGAAGGCACUACUCAAUAAUUGUUACAGUAAUUACUGUUUAAUAUUUUAUUUUAUUGAUUCAAUAAUUGCUACAUUGACAUUUUAUAUUAUUGUUAUUUUAAUAAUUGUCAUUACACAUUAUUUUUUAUUAUCAGAUCAAUAAUUCUAUUAUUUGAAUAAUAUUAUUAGAUAGCAUUAUUGGCAAUGUCUAGAAAGUUUUGUCUAAGGAGAGGUUUGGUCACCUAAUUGCGUGCUAGUAAGGAGAAAUCCUUAUUGGAAAGCCCCCUCUUUCCUGGGAACGGCCUGGUUGUCAGUAUUGUGAUUCUGUAAUAUUAUUUGUGAAUAAUUAAUUAUUGAUUUAUAUGAUAAGGAAAAUAUUCAUUUUAUGUGGAUAUAGAUGGAGAAAAUUUUUUAAUGUGACAAUUGUUGAAAAUUGAUAUUUUAUCUUUUCUGAUAAAAUAAUUUAUUUAAAUAUAUUAUUAUAUUUUAAUAAUAUAAUAAUGGUGAUAUUUUUACAAUGAAUGUGUGAUAUAUGAAUAAAUGAGGAGAAAGAGUAUUUUUGUUAUAAAAAAUGUUUAACACAUAUUUUGUGUGUUGGUGGACCCUAUUUUUGACUGAAAUUUGAUUAUAGCCUGCAAAAUCGUCCGUAUGUGGAUUUCGGUCAAUUUUUGUUUGGAAUUUGAAAAAACUUUCUUCUGCAAAGUUGUAGAGAAUUAAAUUUCCUAUGGAAUGGACAUGAGAUUUGAAUUUUUCUGAUAAAAGGGCUAUUUAUUAUGAAUUAUUGAAGUUCUAGAAUAUUGAGUCUGAAUUGAUUUUGUUACAAAAAUUGUUUUAAACAUGUUUUUCAUUUUUUGUGUGGUAAAUUUGUUUUUGAUGUGGUGGGCUAAGGAAAAUUUGAUUAUAAAUAUAUUAUUUUAUUAAAUUUUCUGCUUUGGUGUUCUAAGCAUUUUUCUAUAAAUAGGGUGCUUAGGUCAGAAUUGAAAAGUACACCAGAAACUAAAAUUUUCUCUCUAUAUUAUCGAGCGUAUUCUUGCGAGUAUUUUGAUACUUUGAGUGUUGCUAUACGGUGCAAGUUCCUUCAACACUAUAUCCAGUAUUCCAGUCAGAAGUACUGUCUUUUCGAGGUAAAGGAUGUUAUUUUUAUAAAUGAUAUUAUUUCUUUCAAUAUCAUUAUGCCGGAAUAUUGGUAAGAUUUUCUUGUGAAAUUCUUAUCUUUUCAUGUCGGGUUUACUAUUCACGAGUUACUAUUCAUAAGUUACUAUUCAUGAGUUACUAUUAAUGAUUUAUUAUUCACGAGUACUAUUCAUGAAGCAUGAUGAUUUUUGUUGUAAAAUUUCUAUCUUUUAGUGUCGGAGUUACUAUUCACGUAUACGGCACUAUUCACGUAUACGACACUAUUCACGAAUACGACACUAUUCACAUAAAAAUUAAAUUUUCUUUCCAGUGUCCAAGAUUGUCUAUUAUGGUUCAUAUCUUUGAUUGGAUCUAUGUUUUGAUCUUCAUUUUUGAAUUCUGCUCCACAAUAGUUUAUUAUGGAGUAUUUUUGAACUUGGAUUGUCUAAAGUACGAAUCCUUAAUAUUUUUUCUUUUGUCUCACUGGAUUUAUUUUCUUUAAAAUAUUUUUCAUCAUCCUCAGUCCUAAAUGAUGAUAUAACUGAAUAUCUUUGGCCUGUAGUGCAAAGAUGAAUGAUUUCUUGAUGAAUAUCUUUGGCCCAUAGUGCAAAGAUGAACAGGUGUUGAGAUGAACAUGACCAACUGAUGAUUAUCUUUGGCCUAUAGUGCAAAGAUGACUAUUUUAUUCAAGAUGUAUAUUGAUUGAUGUUACAGGGAUAAAAUAUUGAUGAUGGACUUUUAAAUUCAUAGAUGUUAGUAGAUUUCAUUCUCUACAACUUUUAAAUUAUCUUUGGCCUUUCUGAAACUUGUUGUCUAUUAUAUUCUAUCGGAUUUUUCCCUGUUGAGGACUAACGAUAAUUUGUUGUACAUUAUCUUAGUCAUAACAUUCUUUACUGGGCUAGUUGAGCUCACCCUUUUCCUUUUUAUUCCAUUUUUCUUCUCAGGAAGCGAGAAUAUAGCAGGAACUAGUCGGGGUGUGGAGUGAUGUUUCAAGAUAGUUGUUAUAGUAGUCCUCACUAUUUUAUAAAAUAGUGUAUCAAUAAUGAGGACUUAUUUGAGUGUGGAUAUUGUCUAGAAGACAAUAUUUGUAUUUAAACUUACAGUAUAUGUGUUGUCGUAUUUUGCACGACAAAUGUAUUAAUAAAGUUGUAGUUGUUUCUGUACCAUGUAUUUGGCGACUCAGAAUGGGUUGAAUGGAAUGGACAUAUUUUGGGGGCGUCACAACAUCUUUGUAUUAAGAGGCCCUCUGAAUAUUUAAGAUACAAAUAUGAGUCAAAACUAUUCAGAAUACCUCUUAAUACAAAGACAUGAGAUGUUAAAAUUCAUUAAGAGGUGGGCUAUUAAAUUGCAUUAAGAUGCAAUCAAACACCAAUUUUGAUUUCCUGAUGAUAAAGCAACUGUGCAAUAUGACAUACCAUUAAUUUCAACAAUGAGUCAUGUUAUACAUUAUAAAAGUUUUACUUUAAUUUAUUCGAUCUUAUCGCAUAUACUUUGAUCACGUAGGUCGCAAUCUAAUUUUGUCAAAUAUUUGUCGACACAUGUAUAUCAUUUUCCUUCAACAUUAAUAUUCCUAUUAAUUAAUUUCUAGUCCCCCUGUCUCGCAAAAAUUGAUUUAAUUUGAUUUUUUUCAAUAUCAAAUUGACCAAUUUUGUAAUCAAAAUAUAUACCAUUUUAUUGUAAAUAUAAGAGGAGAACCAUAUAUAAAAAACUAUAUCGAAUUUACUAUCACCUUCAAUUUUCAUAUGUUUGAAAAUAUAAAUAACUAUCCUGAAUUCUUUUUUAAAAUUGAUCCAUUUGACCACAAAAAUUAAAUAAAUCAAUUUUUGAAGGACUAGGAGAAUAGUGAGGAGAUCGGUUUCAAACAUAAGAAAGAAUGAUCUGACACAUUCUUAUUAUAAAUUUCAGAAGAGUAAUGCUAGGAACACCAAAUAUAUAAAAAAUUGUAAACACUAAGUAUAAAAACAAAGAAAAAAAAUAGGGAGCGAGACCUACAGCUUAAUAUUUUGCACAUUUAAUUGGUAAGCAAUAUUUGAAUCAUACUCUUAGUGCACAAAAUUUUGUGUACAGUUGUUGCACAUAGUAUUAUCCAUUUCAAAAUAUUUUAUCAACUAUUAACAUUUUGUAUGACAUGCACGUGUCAAUCACCCAGGGAGGUUGAGUAAAUUUUGAUAGGUGUUUAGUAUUUCAAGUUUGAUAACCCGUGCAAAAUACAAAUAAAUUUGAAAACGACUCAUCUAGUAUCUUUCUUAACGCAAAGCGUUACAUGUAGCUUUAAGUACUACAAUUUUACAUCGACUUUUUAAUUAUCAGUUACGUGGAUAAGUACCGGUUGUAACUUUAUUAGAGAGAUGUGUAAUAAGUAGAUUGUUCUUAUAAUUCUUACAAAUCUCAUGUAUUGAUAAAUUUCAUAAUUAUAAUUCAGCGUCAAUUUAUCGCAAUACAUAGCACAACUCUUCCAUGAACAAUUGAUUUAAAAUAAUUCUCUAUAUGUUGAUUUCAUGAUUAUAAAGCAAGUGUGCAAUAUGAACUUUCAUUAAUUUCAAUAAUAAUAUUUAAUUAGUGUUUGACUUAUCUCCAUUUUUUCUCAUUUAGAUAAACUCGUUUACCAUUCCCAUGCGAAGCACACAGCCAAUAUUAAUAACGAUUUAUUUUAUUAAUUAUUAAAAUAAUCAAUUAAAUGUAAGAUAAUAUAUUUAAUUGGGAUUUUGAGAAUGUAGUUAUAAUUAUUAAAUAUUUAUUUAAACAAUAAAUUAUUGAAGUAUAUAUUGUAGGUUCAUUUUAUUAUCCUUAAAACUGACCUUCACCUUCAAACGGUCAAGAAGCUCUUUCAAUUUUUCAACUUCAUAAUUGAUCUAGAAGGAUUUAAUGUUGCAGUCUCUGAUUGUUGGAAUGUUCAAAUUCGUGGCAACCCAAUGUUUAUUCUUUUUGAAAAGAUGAGGAGAACUAAGAAAUCUAUUGUUCAACUUAACUCAUCGGCUGGUAAUCUUUCUAAUAAUGUAUGUAUCCUUCAGGCCCAGCUCUCUACCAUUCAGUCUUCUCUUCACUCUGAUCCCCACAACACCUCCUUUCUCAGUCAGGAAUUUCUUUGUAUGCAGUCGCUAUGGAAAGCCCUUGCUUUACAGGAUCUCUGUUGCAACAAAAAUCUCGGGCAAUUUGGCUCUCUUAAGGGGACAAAAACUCCAAGUUUUUUUCUAAUGCUAUCAAGAGCAUAUGAAACCACAACAAAAUUUUGGCAAUUUAUAACUGUAAUGGGGAAUUGGUAGAGAACCAAGCUAAUAUCCAGUAGGUUGUUGUUGAUUACUACCAGGAUCUCUUAGGUUCUUCCUUCGAUCACUUUCCUAGAUUUGCUGAGCUGGAAAAGUAUGUUAUUAAACAGAUUAUUUCUAUCCAAUCUUCUAAUAUGGUUCCCCUAUUUUGGAUGAUGAGAUUUUCUAUAUGCCUAAGUCUAUAAAGGUUAACAAGAGCCUGGCCCGGAUGGCUUUAAUGUUAAUUUUUCCUCCAUUGUUGGGAUAUCAUUGGGGAUGAAUUUACCUCUGUAGUGCAUUAAUUUUUUUGAUACGAGCCACCUUCCUUGUGGAAUUAAUGCUACUACUAUUGCCUUGAUCCCAAAGUCUGAUAAUCAUUCAUAUAUAUCUAACUUUAGGCCAAUAUUUUGUUGCAACACUUUUUAUAAAUGCAUCUCUAAGAUUAUUGCUAAUAAACUUAAGAAGGUCCUUCCCUCUCUAAUUGAUCAUGCCCAAUCUGCCUUCAUUUCUAGUAGAAGCAUUAGUGAUAAUAUUCUUCUUGCUCAAGAACUUUUCAGAAACUACCAUAGGAAUUUUGGUCUUGCUAGAUGUGCCUUAAAGAUUGACAUUAGGAAAGCUUUUGACACUGUCAACUAGAGUUUUAUCUUGGAUCUGUUGAGCCUUCUUAAGUUCCCUCCCACUUUCAUUAAUUGGAUUAAAGUUUGCAUUUCUACAACUAUGUUUUUUGUUAAAGUGAAUUGAGCUCUUGCAAGCUACUUCCGAAGGUCCAGAGGACUAAGGCAAGGGGAUCUUCUUUCCCCUUACCUGUUUGUGCUAGCUAUGGAAGCCCUCUCAAUUAUUUUGAACAAGGAUUCUCUUUUGCCUGGCUUUAAAUUCCACUAGCGAACCGAGCCUUGCAAACUCACUCAUCUUUGUUUUGCUGAUGAUUUAUUAAUCUUUUGCCAUGGUAGCCUGCCUUCAGUUACAAUCAUUCAUUCUUGUAUUUAGUCUUUCUCAUUGUUCUCUAGCUUAAUUCCAAAUGCUCAGAAGAGUCACUAUGUUUUAUAUAAUGUUAAAGACAAUGGCAUAAUAGCAUUUGUUCUAUGGUGGGGUUUCAUAUUGGUGUUCUACCUAUCAGAUUUUUUGGGGUUCCCCUAAUCUCAUCUAAGCUUUCCCACAUGGAUUGCAUGCCUUUAAUUCAACAAAUCACUGCUAGAGUGUCCUCCUAGACUGCAAGAUUUCUCUUUUACUUAGGUAGACUGCAGCUAAUCAAAUUUGUCCUGUUUACCAUUCAGUCUUAUUGGUCAGCCCUUUUUUUUGCCCAAGUCUGUGAUGAGAUCAAUUCAGUCGAUUCUUUGUAGAUUUCUCUGGAAAGGCGCAUAUCUUCUCAAGUUUGAAGUCGAAGUCUCUUGGAAGGAUCUAUCCAUGCCAUAGUCUGAGGGGGGUCUAGCUAUCAAGAGUCUUAUUGACUGGAAUAUGGCUCUCAUCCUCUAGCACCUUAUCAAGGUUAUCUCUCAUUCCCCUUCUUCUCUUUGGGCUUCAACGAUUCAAAGCUCUAUUCUUAAGUAGAGAAAUUUUUGGUAUAUUGAUAUUCACUCUGAUUGCUCUUGGAUUUGGCUUAAAAUCAUUAAAAUCAUUAACAUAUCACCAAAUAAUCAUAAAAUAAUUCAUUAAAUUGAUAGAAACAUAAAAAAUGAAUUUCUACAACUAUGUUUUCUGUUAAAGUGAAUGGAGCUCUUGCAAGCUAGUUCCGAAGGUCCAGAGGACUAAGGCAAGGGGAUCUUCUUUCCCCUUACCUGUUUGUGCUAGCUAUGGAAGCCCUCUCAAUUAUUUUGAACAAGGAUUCUCUUUUGCUUGGCUUUAAAUUCCACUAGCGAACUGAGCCUUGCAAACUCACUCAUCUUUGUUUUGCUGAUGAUUUAUUGAUCUUUUGCCAUGGUAGCCUGCCUUCAGUUAUGAUCAUUCAUUCUUGUAUUUAGUCUUUCUCAAUGUUCUCUAGCUUAAUUCCAAAUGCACAGAAGAGUCAUUGUUUUUUAUAUAAUGUUAAAGAAGAAUGGCAGAAUAGCAUUUGUUCUAUGGUGGGGUUUCAUAUAGGUGUUCUACCUAUUAGAUUUCUUGGGGUUCCCCUUAUCUCAUCUAAGCUUUCCCACAUGGAUUGCAUGCCUUUAAUUCAACAAAUCACUGGUAGAGUGUCCUCCUGGACUGCAAGAUUUCUCUUUUACUCAGGCUGACUGCAACUAAUCAAAUUUGUCCUGUUUGCCAUUAAGUCUUACUGGUCAGCCCAUUUUAUUUUGCCCAAGUCUGUGAUGAGAUCAAUUCAGUCGAUUCUUUGUAGAUUUCUCUGGAAAGGCGCAUCUCUUCUUAAGUUUGAAGUCAAAGUCUCUUGGAAGGAUCUAUCCAUGUUAUAGUCUGAGAGGGGUCUAGCUAUCAAGAGUCUUAUUGACUGGAAUAUGGCUCUCAUCCUCCAGCACCUUAUCAAGGUUAUCUCUCAUUCCCCUUCUUCUCUUUGGGCUUCAUGGAUUCAAAGCUCUAUUCUUAAGCUCGGCUCUUCACUUCUCUGUAGUUCCACAAGGCAGCUUAGAAUUGUAGUAGCUAUAUUAAUUGAAUGUCGUUCUUUUUUGUUUUUGUCUCUUCUUUGAAGAAAGAAAGAAAAUUUAAGGAAGAGAGAAAUUUCAAAGAAAGCUAGAAGAAUGAAAGAAUAUGAGUAGACUGGGAUGAAUAUGUAGUGUUCCAUAUAUGCUUGCAAGUGUUAUGGAAAUAAAUAAUCUGUUCCUAACAUUAGAAUGAUUUAAUUUGGUUUCCAAGAUAAGAUAAGAUUUGAUUUGUUAAAAUAUGAUUUGAUUUGAUAAGAUAUUAAUUAUUUUAUUUGGUAAUAUUUAAUUUUCAUAUUUGAUUUGAUUCACCUUGAUUUAUUUUCCAGAAAAUUAAGGAAACAAGGAGAUUGAGCAAGAUUUGAAACAUUUGUUGGAGAUUACACAAGACAUCGAGGGACCGCCCAGGAUCCAUUAGGGUUUGGCUUUUUAGGGGUUCUUGUGUGUUUACAGAAACAAGAUAUACAUACAAUAACUUUGUAAAACAGCGGAAGCAUGACAUAAAUAGAAUUUAAAAUUUUCGGCAAUUUAAACACGUUAUAAACACUUUACACUUUAUUACUUUUACAUGCAAUUUAAUUGAUGAGAUUGUCAUUGUCUAGUAGCUAAUUGUCUUAAUUUGAUUACAAAAUAUGAUUGUACUCCUUCCAUUUCUUUUUAAUAGAUGUUUUAGAAGAAAACAUAAAUUUAAUAAAUACUAUUAAUGCUUAUUAAUAUUACCAAGUGAAUAUUUAAUAUAAAGACAAUAUAUGAAAUUAAGUCAUUAAUGCUUCCUUAAAAUCUAAAAAUAAAAAGAAACAAAUUUGACUUUUUAAAAAGACAAAUAAAAAGAAACGGAUGGAGUAAUAUCUAUUCGACUUUAUAUUUUUUGGGAAUUAAUAUUUCCAUAAAUGAAAAGGCUAGUUCUACAAGAUUUUUAAUUCCCUUUUUUUCCCCAUAUAAACAAUGUGUUGAAACAAUGGUCUAUUCAUGCGAUGACUAAACAAAUUCACAAUUUUAUGGCCACUUCUAAAUUUCAACCAAUGGUUCUCUUCCUUAUAGUUAUGCUUUCACUAUUUGCUACUGAUGAAUGUAAGUAAUUAUUUCCUCAUCAUCCCUUAUUUUCAAAUUAUUGUAAAUACAUUUUUAGUUUUUGUAAUUUUUUUUCUCUUAUAAGAGGCAAUUUAUUUAAGAAAUUAUAUAAGUAUUUUAUUAGAUUCCGAAAACCCAUUUUAGAAUUAACUUUAUUUUUUAAAAAAAUAUUUAUUUUUGAUACAAGUUUGAUCAACAAAAGAGCUGAAAUUACGCAAGAUGGUGACAAUAUUCUCCCUACAAAGCUCAACACUAUUUGUCUCCCAACGGUAUGUCUAGGGGGUAUCCCUAGAAAUUGUUGGUGUUGUGUUGAGCCUCUUAAAUCACGUUGUUUUGAUAAAAGAUCCGAGUGUUGAGCCUUUUGUAAAUGAUCCUCCUUAUACUGUUGCAACUAUUCCAUGAAUAAUUUAAUUAAAGUAACUCUCUAUAUUUAGAUUUCCUGAUGAUAAAGCAACUGCGCAAUAUGAACUGCCAUUAAUUUCAACAAUAAUUCAUGUUAUACUUUAAAAAAGUUUUCAGCCGAAUUAUAAUUCCAUUGUCGUCAGAACUGACCCCGUCGGCAAUGACCCGUUUUUGUAGUGAUAAUUCUCUAUAUUUUGAUUUACUGAUUAUAAAGCAAGUGUUCAAUAUGAACUAUCAUUAAUUUCAAUAAUAAUAUUUAAUUGGUGUUUUCCUUAUCUCCAUUUUGUCUCAUUUAGAUAAACAAUUUUACAUUGAAAUAAUCAAUUAAAUGUAAGAUAAUAUAUUUAAUUAGGACUUUGAGAAUAUAUAGUUAUAGUUAUUAAAUAUUUAUUUAAAAAAUAAAUUAUUAAAUUAUAUAUUGUAGGUUCUUUCGAUCAAUUAUUAAGCUAAACAUUUGAAUGUUGUGUAGAUUUAUUUAGUUAUUAUUAUAAGCAAACAAUUAUUUUAAUUAAUUUUAUUGUAGUUUCAAAUAAAAUUUUGUAUUAGUGUUUAUAUUGACAAAAUUUUCUUGAAAUUCUAAUUCGAAUUAACUAUAUAAUUAAAUGCACAAACAUGGUUUCACCAAUUUUUAUUUUAGCUUUUUUCUUUCCUAUUAAAAUUAGUAUAAGUUCUAUCCAAAUUUGUAAAUUAUUCAAAAUAAAACCCAACAUGUUAGGAAAAAGGAAGAUGUUGUUUAUUUAUAUAUCUAUAAUAGGAAAAUAAAUUUCUAAAUGAUUUUUUUUCUUUGGCUCUAUCAAAUAUAUUACAAGAUUUUAUAUCACUAAGAUAAUAUAUCUUAACAAAUUUUAUCCAAAAUUUGUUAUUGCACUUUUAUUAAGAUGUUAAGCUAUCGACAAAAAUUCUUAAUAAUAUAUGUGAUUUUUAAAAAAAUAUAAUUAUUGUAAACCCCAAAUUUUACGAAUAAAGAUUUAAUUUUCUCGAAAUAUUUUUUUUGAAUAUUAUGGUGUGUAUUUGAUAUAAUGUUAUAGUUGUGGGUAAUAUUUAUAAAUUUUGCAAAGUAAGCAAGUUGUUAUAAAAUAUUCGUUUGGUCAGGGAAUAUUCUUUUUAUCGGGGAAUAUCCGUACGACGACACAAUCAUUGGUGGAAUCCACAACGGAAGUAUGGUCGUAGUAAGAAAACGACAAAAUUAUCUUUUUAUAAAAAUAACAGCGGAAGUGUUACCGUUAAAACUGUUGAACUACUCGGUAGUAAAAGUACAGUAAUACGCGUUGUUGCAUAAUAGCACACUGUAUUGAUUAUUGAUGCUUACGUGAGAAGUCACUCAGUUAUACUCAAUUAUUGCUACAGUAAUUGCUGCAUCAUAUCUCUCAUAUUAUUAAUUCGAUUAUUAUCACAGUAUCAUCUUCAUAAUAUGAUAUAUUAUUAAAUCAAUAAUUGAGACGACAAAGUUAUUCAUAUUAUUAAAUUGCAAUAUUUACAAUGUCUAGAAGUUCUGUCAAGGAGAGGUUUGGUCACCUAAUUGCGUGCCAAUAAGGAGAAAUCCUUAUCGGAAAGCCCCCUCUUUCCUGGGAACGACCUGGUUGUUAAAUAUUGUGAGUUAUAAUAUUAAUGAUGAAUAAGUUCGUGUUGAUUAAAGAUGAAAUUGAUAGUUCCAUUGUGUUGGAAUUAUUAGUGUUAGUGAAAAUCGACAUUUAUUUCGAUAAUAAUUGAUGUCUGGAGGUUAUAUUGACCAAUCGGGUAAUUAAUCGGAUAAAUGAGCAAUUAAUUGCUAUUAAUUCACAUGAUUAUAACUAUUUGUUCACAUGUGUGUACUAUUGAUUCACAUUCUUGUACUAUUAGGGGAGUUGGUGCAAGAUUGAUAAUACUUGCAUGACUAAGUUAAAAAUGGAGGUAUAGAUGGAGGUACUAUACUGUAAUUCGUAUUUUCACAUGAUUAUAACUAUUGAUUCACAUGAUUGAACUAUUGAUUCACAUUAUUUACUAUUAGGGGAGGUGGUGCAAGUUUGAUAAUACUUGCAGGACUAAAUUAAAAAUGAAGAAAAAGAGGAAGGUAUUAUACUGUAAUAUUUCGAGCCCCAAAACGUGCAAUUAUCGAAACUAUAUUUUCCUAUAAAUAGAAGCUCAUUCUUCCUUCAUUUCUCACCAAUUCACUAAAGCUAUAGAGCAAUUAUUAUAGAGAGAAAUUAUAGAGAGAAAGAAGAAGAGAAGUCUGCUACCUCACUAUUCCAGUAUCCAAUUUUCUUCUAAGGUAAGGGGUAUUAUUCUUUCGUAUUCAUGAAGAGAGUUAUUUUCUUUCAAUACUCGUAAGGGUUGUUAUUCCAUUCUUUAUUAUUAUGUUGGAAUAACCUGUCUAUGCGAAGUACCGCAUACAUGGUGAAAUUCUUCUGUUAUUCCAUUCUUUAUUAUUCUGUUGGAAUAACCUGUCUGUGCGGUCUAUCGCAUGCCUGGUGAAUUCUUCUGUUAUUCCAUUCUUUAUUAUUCUGUUGGAAUAACCUGUCUAUGUGGAUUACCGCAUGCAUGGUGAAUGAUCCUUCGUAUUCAUUCCUUAUUAAAUUGUGGAAAUGAUCUGUCUACGUGGAUUACCGCAUGGCGGGCGAAAAUCCAUUUGCAGUUUCAUAUAUUCUAUUAUACUCAGUUGGUUAAAGUUUUGGCUUCUAUACUCCAUGAAAUUAGUAGAAUAUCCUGGAUAUUUGCGCUUCAUCCAGUAUCUUUUCAUGGAAAUAUUCUUCUGAGCAUUCUUGAAUUUUACUCCACAAAGCAGUAUCAUGUUGACAAUUUGGACGUAAUUGAUUUCAGGAUAAAUUAACUUAUAAAUCUUUAAAAUUUAUUCUUGAACUUGUUUUAUUGAAUUAUUAUGUCAUUGUCAUCAUCCUCAUGCUUAUAUUGUGAUGAAAGUCAUCUUUGGCUUACGUGCAUAGAUGGACUUGGUAUGAUUAUGACCAGGGAUCAUUCGGUAUAAUCAUGACCUGUAAUAUUAUAAAUGAUGUGGUAAAAGUCCUCAGUGGCCUGUAGUGCAUUGAUGGACAGUUUUUGGUAUGAUUAUGACCAGGGAUUAUUCGGUAUAGUCAUGACCAUUGAUGAUUUAAUGAAUAUCCUUGGCCCGUAGUGCAGGGAUGAUUCGACGAUGUGGUUUAUUUAUUAAGCUGAGUCUCAGCGAUAAAAAUUGGUGAAAACAUUUUUUUUUAAAUAUAGAAGAUAGUAGAUAUCAUGCUCUACUUGACUCUUCUAAUGGAUUGCUUAUUUUCGCUGCAGUUGUUGAUCUAAAACUUGUUGUCUAUUGUAUUCUAUCAGUUGUUAUACUGUUGAAGGCUAAGGAUAAUUUAUUCUGCAUUAUCUUAGUCAUAAUAUUUAUUACUGGGCUAGUUGAGCUGACCCUUUCUUUCAUUGUUCUCUUCAGGAAAUGAGAAUAUAGCUGGGACUAGUCGGGGAACGGAGUGAUGGUCCGAGAUGGUGUCAUAGUAGUCCUCAAUAUUCUAUAAAAUAGUGUGAUAAUAAAUGUAAUGAGGACUCCAUUGAGUGUGGAUAUUGUCUAUAUGACAAUAUUCUUGUUUAAACUCUCAGCUUAUGUUUUGUCGUAUUUUACAUGACUGUUGUAUAAUUAAGUUGUAUUUGAAUUUAUGUACCAUGUAUCUGGCGACUCAAGAUGGGUGAUGAAUACCUGUUUUGGGGGCGUUACAGUUGGUAUCAAAGCUUAGGGAUAUGAUCCAUGGCUGAGAUGUGAGACAAGAACUAGAAGGGGAGAGACGGGGAAUUCCUUCGCUAGUAUGACCUACCUAAGUUUAUUUGGUAUUUAAUUGGUCGGUCAGGGUAUAGGGAUAAUAUAUGAUAUGUCAAUUAACCCUUGUUUUAUGAUAGUGUUUGUAUUCAGAUGUUGUGAAUAGGGCUCAGUUAUUGGAGCCUGAUAAUGAGUCAGCACAACCAAAAGGCAACGACCAACAACACGAAAAUAAUCAUACCGGUGGCAACGGCCAUCGGAACAACGAUAAUCAUCGUGGGGAAAAUUAUCAUGCCAGAAAUGGUAACCACUUCGGUGGUAAUCGUGGCCAAGAUAAUAGAAGUGGAAGUUUCAAGAAGAGGAAAUUCAAUAAUGAUGGAAAGACGUCAGCACCAGCACCUGUUGUUAAGGAAGGAGAACGACCGCCGGUCGUAUGUUACAAAUACAGAAGGGAGGGACAUAUCAGUCCAAACUGCGUGAUGCAGUCCAAAGUAUGUUACAAUUGUAGAAAAGAAGGUCACUUAGCCCGAUUUUAUCGUGCACCAAAGUCAAGUCCAGCUAGGACGGUGGCACCAAAGUCGGUGGUUUCAAGAAGAGCGUUUUUCGUGACUUCUCAAAAAGCGAGUAACCCUAACGAAGUUAGCACGGGUUAGUUAAUUAUAAAUUCUUGCAUCGGUGGUUUCAAGAAGAGCGUUUUUCGUGACUUCUCAAAAAGCGAGUAACCCUAACGAAGUUAGCACGGGUUAGUUAAUUAUAAAUUCUUGCAAAGUCUAUACCUUAUUAUAUACCGGUUCUACCCAUUUUUUUAUCUCUCUUGCUUGCGCUCAACAUUUAAAUUUAACUCUAGAGAAGUUAGACUUUGACUUAUUGGUUGAAACUCCGUUAGGAGAAACCUUCAUUACGUGUGCUAUCCAAGUCUUGGAUGAGAGUCAUAGUUUUGAAUGAUAUUUCUAUUGUUAAUAAAUUUCCUAACGUAUUCUUGAAGACUUCCUGGCCUACCCCCAGAGCGUGAAAUAGAGCUUUGUAUUGACCCCAGUACAAAACCAAUUUCUAAAAAUAUUUCUUUACUAAAAACGAACGUAUCAUACGCCAAAGACAUUGGCUCGAGCUGUUGAAGAUUACAACUAUACCAUUCAAUAUCAUUGUGGAAGAGCAAAUGUGGUAGCUGACGCGUUGAGUAGAAGAUCGUAUGCGUUUACGAGUGCGAUGUUGUUAACACAAAAACCCAUUUCGUAUAACUUACAAAUGAUGAAGAUAGAGUUAAAGACUCUAGGGACCCACGUGAAGAUAACGAAUAUACGAGUAGAAUUGACUUUAAUCGAUAAAGUUAAGCCGCUCAAACUACGCACCCGAAGAUGAUGAAUGUGAAGAAAAAGGUUCAAGAGGGCGUUAUUCUAGAAGCAAGAAUCGAUGAAGAGAGGAAAUCUCAACCCCCAAUUUUAUUGGCCCAUUUGAAAUCCUUGAUCGAGUAGGAACUGUGGCCUAUAGACUCGUUUUACCGCCAAGUAUGUCGCGUGUUCAUAACAUUUUUCACGUAUCGAUGUUACGUAAAUAUGUGGAUGACCCGAACCACGUUAUUAAAUUAGAAAUAGACGAGAUAGCAGAAGAUUUAACGUAUGAGGAGAUACGUUUUAAAAUCUUGGAUAAGAAAGAUUAUAUUCGACACUCAAAGGUUAUACCUCAAGAGUUGGAAUAUGAAAUAAAGUCAAGGUAUCCCCACCUCUUCGGCAUACCAGGUACGUACGUAAAUUUCGAGGGCGAAAUUUCAUAAGGAGGGGAGAUUGUAAAACCCCAAAUUUUACGACUAAAGAUUUAAUUUUCUCGAAAUAUUUUUUUUGAAUAUUAUGGUGUGGAUUUGAUAUAAUGUUAUAGUUGUGGGUAAUAUUUAUAAAUUUUAUAAAGUAAGCAAGUUGUUAUAAAAUAUUCGUUUGGUUGGGGAAUAUUCUUUUUGUCGGGGAAUAUCCGUACGACGGCACAAUCAUUGGCGGAAUCCACAACGGAAGUAUGGUCGUAGUAAGAAAAUGACAGAAUUAUCUUUUUAUAAAAAUAACAGCGGAAGUGUUACCGUUAAAACUGUUGAACUACUCGGUAGUAAAAGUACAGUAAUACGCGUGGUUGCAUAGUAGCACACGGUAUUGAUUAUUGAUGCUUACGUGAGAAGUCACUCAGUUAUACUUAAUUAUUGCUACAGUAAUUGCUGCAUCAUAUCUCUCAUAUUAUUGAUUCGAUUAUUGUCAUAGUAUCAUCUGCAUAAUAUGAUAUAUUAUUAAAUCAAUAAUUGAGACGAUAAAGUUAUUCAUAUUAUUAAAUUACAAUAUUUACAAUGUCUAGAAGUUCUGUCAAGGAGAGGUUUGGUCACCUAAUUGCGCACCAAUAAGGAGAAAUCCUUAUCGAAAAGACCCCUAUUUCAUGGGAAUGACCUGGUUGUUAAAUAUUAUGAAUUAUAAUAUUAAUGAUGAAUAAGUUCGUGUUGAUUAAAGAUGAAAUUGAUAGUUCCAUUGUGUUGGAAUUAUUAGUGUUAGUGGAAAUUGACAUUUAUUUCAAUAAUAAUUGAUGUCGGAGGUUAUAUUGUUCAAUCGGGUAUUCUGGGCACUUUUCAUGUCGGAGUACUAUUCACGGGUUACUAUUUACCCGAUUACUAUUCACUCUAGUAUUAUGCACUCAGGUAUUUGGGACACUUUUCGUGUCGGAGUACUAUUCACGGGUUACUAUUCACCCGAUUAUUAUUCACUCUAGUAUUAUUCACUCAGAUAUUUAGGACACUUUUCAUGUCGGAGUACUAUUCACGGGUUACUAUUCAUGGGUUACUAUUCACCCGUUACUAUUCACUAUAGUAUUAUUGACUCGGGUAUUUGGGACACUUUUCUUGUCGGAGAACUAUUCACGGGUUACUAUUUAUGGGUUACUAUUCACCCAGUUACUAUUCACUCUAGUAUUGUUCACUCGGGUAUUUGGAACAUUUUUCGUGUUGGGGUACUAUUCACGGGGUACUAUUCCUAAAGUACUAUUCACCCAAAAAAUAUAUUUCUCUUCGGUCCAAAUCAUUUUUGGGUACAAUAUUAUUCCACGAGGAGAUGUGCUAAUUUUUCAGACCGUUGGUUUAAAUUAUAAUAGUAAAUCAAUAUGGAUCGUUGGUUUAAAAUUUUAAUAGUAAAUCAAUAUAGAUCGUCCGUUUAAAAGUAAAUCAAUCUGGACCAUUCAUGAAUUAGUUACUAUUCAGUCCAUUCUCCUAUAAAUAGAAGCUCAUUCCUUCAUUAUUUCUUACGAAUUCACUGAAACUCUAGAGAGAGAAAGUAUAGAGAGAAAGAAGAAGAGAAGUCUACUACCUCACUUUUCCAAUAUCCAGUUUCUUCUAAGGUAAGGGGUAUUAUUUCUUUCGUAUUCAUGAAGAGAGCUUCUGUUAUUCCAUUCUUUAUUAUUCUGUUGGAAUAACCUAUCUAUGUGAAGUACCGCAUACAUGGUGAAAUUCUUCUGUUAUUCCAUUCUUUAUUAUUCUGUUGGAAUAACCUGUCUAUGCAAAGUACCGCAUACAUGAUGAAAUUCUUCUGUUAUUCCAUUCUUUAUUAUUAUGUUGGAAUAACAUGUCUAUGAGAAGUACCGCAUACAUGGUGAAUUUCUUCUAUAAUUCCAUUAUUUAUUAUUAUGUUGGAAUAACCUGUCUAUGCGAAGUACUGCAUACCUGGUGAAAUUCUUCUAUUAUUCCAUUCUUUAUUAUUCUGUCGGAAUAUCCUGUCUGUGCGUUUAUGCAUGACCUGGUUCCAUCAUUUAUUAUUUUGUUGGAAUAACCUGUCUGUACGGUCUAUCGCAUGCAUAGUGAAUUCUGUUGUUAUUCCAUUCUUUAUUAUUCUGUUGGAAUAUCCUGUCUGUGCGGAUUACGCAAGACCUGGUUCCAUUCUUUAUUAUUCUGUUGUAAUAACCUGUCUGUGCGGUCUAUCGCAUGCAUGGUGAAUUCUGUUGUUAUUCCAUUCUUUAUUAUUCUGUUGGAAUAUCCUGUCUGUGCAGAUUACGCAUGACCUGAUUCCAUUCUUUAUUAUUCUGUUGGGAAUAACCUGUCUGUGCAGUGUCUAUCUCAUGCAUGGUGAAUCCUUCUGUUAUUCCAUUCUUUAAUAUUCUGUUGGAAUAACCUGUCUAUAUGGAUUACCGCAUGCAUGGUGAAUGAUCCUUUGUAUUCAUUCCUUAUUAAAUUAUGAAAAUGAUCUGUAUACGUGGAUUAUCGCAUAAAAUCCAUUUGCAGUUUCAUAUAUUCUAUUAUACUCAGUUGGUUAAAGUUUUGGCUUCUAUACUCCAUGAAAUUAGUAGAAUAUCCUGGAUAUUUGCGCUUCAUCCAGUAUCAUUUCAUGGAAAUAUUCUUCUGAGCAUUCUUGAAUUUUACUCCACAAAGCAGUAUCAUGUUGACAAUUUGGACGUUAUUGAGUUGAGGAUAAAUUAACUUAUAAAUCUUUAAAAUUUAUUCUUGAACUUGUUUUAUUGAAUUAUUAUGUCAUUGCCAUCAUCCUCAUGCUUAUAUUGUGAUGGAAGUCAUCUUUGGCUUACGUGCAUAGAUGGACUUGGUAUGAUUAUGACCAUUGAUUAUUCGGUAUAGUCAUGACCAUUGAUGAUUUAAUGAAUAUCCUUGGCCCGUAGUGCAGGGAUGAUUCGAUGAUGUGGUUUAUUUAUUAAGCUGAGUCUCAGCGAUAAAAAUUGGUGAAACAUUUUUUUAAAACAUAGAAGAUAGUAGAUAUCAUGCUCUACUUCACUCUUUUAAUGGAUUGCUUAUUUCCGCUGCAGUUGUUGAUCUAAAACUUGUUGUCUAUUGUAUUCUAUCAGUUGUUAUACUGUUGAAGGCUAAGGAUAAUUGAUUUUGCAUUAUCUUAGUCAUGAUAUUUCUUACUGGGCUAGUUGAGCUCACCCUUUCUUUCAUUGUUCUCUUCAGGAAAUGAGCAUAUAGCUGAGACUAGUCGGGGAAUGGAGUGAUGGUCUGAGAUGGUGUCAUAGUAGUCCUCACUAUUCUAUAAAAUAGUGUGAUAAUAAAUGUAAUGAGGACUCCAUUGAGUAUGGAUAUUGUCUAGAUGACAAUAUUCUUGUUUAAACUCUCAGCUUAUAUUUUGUCGUAUUUUACACGACUGUUGUAUAAUUAAGUUGUAUUUGAAUUUAUGUACCAUGUAUCUGGCGAAUCAAGAUGGGUGAUGAAUACCUGUUUUGGGGGCAUCACAAUUACUAUAAAAUUAGUUGAAAAUUAUAGUGGAUUGGUUACUAACGAAUUGUUAUAAUUAAAUUAAAAUUUAUUAAAACUUGAGUUUUGUAGUUCGAAUUAGAAUUUCAAGUAAACUUUAUCAAUAUAAACCCAAGAGUAAAAUUCCAUUAAAAAAUUAAAUAAAAUAAAAAUAAUUAUUUUCGCAUAAUCAUAACUAAAUACUCCAUCCGUCUUAGGAUUAAAGUUUUUAUUAGUAAUUUGGGUAGUCUUAAGUUAAAAGUUCACUUACCUUAAAUAAUCUAUUUUUUACAAAAAUAAAUCUUAUAAUACCCCUAAUAUUAAUUGUUGUGGGUCCAAGUAUUAAUUAGGGUUCAAACCUAAAGUAUUGAAUGAAAGACAAAAAGACAACAAAAAUCUCUAAAUAAGUUAAUGCACAUUAAAUUUCUCAAUAGGAUAAAAUUUUGGAAUCUUAAAUUUAAUUAAAUGUCUAAAAGAAAAAAUAUUUAUUUUGAGGGUCACUGAGUGGUCGUACGAACCAUGACUCUUUACACAAAUGUUUAAUAAUCACAAAAACUGUGAACUUUUACUUGACGUUUAAUAAUCGUAAAAGACUGUAAACUCUUAUCCCCCAAAGUAUCAUUAGGUGAUCAGCCUAAUAAGGCCAAAUGUUACAUGUAACAUUUAAUCACGUUGUAAUUACUCAGCAUGAUAAUGUCGAUUACCCGACCAUAACUCAAUACCCCUAUUUAUAGGGUUGUUCAUACUCAUUCAAAACCUCGAGAUACCUACCAAAAUAUUUUGGAUUGGAUUAACAUAUCACCAAAUAAUCAUAAAACAAUUCAAUAAAUUGAUAGAAAUAUAAAAAUUGAAUUUAGUCGAACAAAUGACAUAAACUCCUUUUAUAGACGGUCCAAGAAGUUUUUCAGAAAAAUUUAUAGUUUUAACAAUAAGCGAAGUUAGAAUGCACGGGAGUGCGGGAUUUGCUUGUUGGGACGUACUUUCCUCGAGAAAGGUAUUUCACGUCUCGAAAUAGUAACUUAAUUACACCAUCAAUAAGAAUUUAUUUAAUUAUUAGUUAUCGAUGGUAACUGUUUGAAAUUUUGUUUCAAUAUUUUCGGAUACUGUAAUUUAUCCUCGAGUAUAUUCUUACACCAUUAAAAUUUCAUUAUAGUAAUUAUUUAUUACUCUCGUAGCCUCAUAUGUCCUUUUUGGACAGAUUUUAGUCGAUAAAAUAUAUUACUUAUUUUUGGCUUUUCUUUAAUUAAUUUUUCAUACAUUUUUAUACUUUACUUAAUUUAUCCAUUAAACCGCAUUAAAUAUUUUAUUAAUUUUCGUCCUCCUAGCCCCGUGUAGAUAAUUAUAAUUUAGUUAGUUUUUGAUUUUUUCAGAUUUUUCCCAACUUUGUUACUAUUUAUUUUAAGCCUAUUUAUGUUCAAAUUUGUGAAAUUUUUUAAAAUUUGAAAAAAUUAUGAAUUUUGGACAAUAUCUUUAUAACAUUAAAUUAUACUUUUACCCAAAAUUUUAUCUUAAACUGAAUUACAGAACCAAAAUUAUAAUUGUUUUAAUGUUUAAAACCUGAUUAAUAUCUAGAGAUCAUUACGACAUUCUUCUUCUUUUCUCGUGAUUAAACAAUGCCUCUAAAAUGUGAAAACCUUCAUAAAUAAAAAAAAUAUGAAAUACUUGAAUUGAUAAAAAUAAUAAUACUCCUUUCAUCCCUUUUAUAAACACGUUACUCUUUAUUAUUUUUACAUGCAAUUUAAUUGAUGAGAUUGUCAUUGUCUAGUAGCUAAUUGGCUUAAUUUGAUUACGAAAUAUGAUUGUACUCCUUCCAUUUCUUUUUAAUAGAUGUUCUAGAAGAAAACAUAAAUUUAAUAAAUACUAUUAAUGCUUAUUAAUAUUUUGUGUGAUUGACCGAGUGAAUAUUUAAUAUAGAGACAAUAUAUGAAAUUAAAUCAUUAAUGCUUCUUUAAAAUCUAAAAAUAAAAAGAAAAAAGAAACAAAUUUGACUUUUUAAAAAGACAAAUAAAAAGAAACGGAUGGAGUAAUAAUCUAUUCGAUUUUAUCUUUUUUGGGAAUUAAUAUUUUCACAAGUGAAAAUGAUAAUUCUACAAGAUUUUCAAUUCCCUUUUUUUCCCUAUAUAAACAAUGUGUUGAAACAAUGUUCUAUUCAUGCGAUAACUAAACAAAUUCACAAUUUUAUGGCCACUUCUAAAUUUCAACCAAUGGUUCUCUUCCUUAUAGUUAUGCUUUCCCUAUUUGCUACUGAUGAAUGUAAGUAAUUAUUUCCUCAUCAUCCCUUAUUUUCAAAUUAUUGUAAAUACAUUUUUAGUUUUUGUAAUUAUUUUCUUUUAUGGCCAUUUUUUUUGAUUUAUUUGUUAAUUAACCAUCUAGAAGAUGCAUAUAAGUUGGGACAUAGCUUGAACCAUUUGAUUUCUUGUUUGGGCUCUCUAAUUACAUUGUUUGGGCUAUGUAAAAAUAGCAUGAUCCAAUAGAUUAAUUUUAUCUUACCCUAAUUAUUUAAUUAGGGUUUUCAUUCCACUCAUUUUGGAAUUUAAAUAAUUAUCUAUGUACCUUUAAUUUUAUAACCCAAUUAGACUCACUUUAAUUAGGUUUAAAUUAAAUAAUAAAUUGAGAUAAUAAAAGUAAUCUCUUAGGUUAGUAUAAUUUUAAAUACUAUUAUUCUUUAAUAUCAUAACCCUUAGGUUAUUUAAUAUCCAUACCUAAUGUAUAAUUAGGUUAUGUAACUUUUUCGUUUAAUUCUUUUUAUAUAAUUCAUACAUAUAUAUAUAUAUAUAAAAUAUAUAUAUAUAUUAAUAUAUAUAUACAUAUAUAUUUAUUUAACCAUAAACAUUUUUCACAUAAAUAAUAACAUAUUCAUUCCAUAUAUGUCAUAAAGUUUUCAAUAUCAUUAAUAUUUAAUUACCGUGUGACUUAAAAUUUUGUUGUUGUUACAAUCUCCAACUAAACUAAAAAAAUUCUUGAAAAAUAAACCAACUAAAAUGGAAUCAAUCAUCUUCAUCUUCCUCCUCCGCUUCGUCUUUCACAUCUGAGGGAACCCAUUUCGUUAAUAUCAAGAAUCAAAACUCAAAAUUUGUACAAAUCAAACCAAACCUAAAACCCAAAAUUCAUUCAUUCCCAUCAAACUAAAACCCAAAAUUUGUACAUAUCAAACCAAACCCAAAAAUCAUUCCAAUCAAAAUAGAAGGAAUCAGGUGAAUCAAGACCAAUAUUAACUGAAACACCAUGAAAACAUCCUAAUUUGGUCCAUCUUUUUUCCCACUCAUCAAAGAGUUCAAUAUAAUAACAAUAAAAUUGGACUAAAAAUUGUCCAAAGAAAGAAAAGAGAAGCAUGCAUCUAGUUCCCCAACUUCACGCUCCUCAUUCACUCAGACAACUCCCAUAGAAAAACUCAAAGGAACUUAAAAAAUGGAAGAAUAUGGAAGCAGAGCAAAAGCUCAUCGGCAGCUCGAAAUCGCCGAGAAGCAAUUACAGAACAGAGAUCUCGUCGGAUCCAGAGAAUUUGUCGUCUUAGCUCAGGAAACGGCGUCGUUACUCGACGGCUCUAAUUUGAUCUUGGCCAUCGUCGAUGUCCUCCCCGCCGUCGACAAGCGGAUCAACAACCACCACAACUCUGAAACCCCCGAAACCAAGCCCAUACACACCUGCUUCAGAUCAAUUAUCCUAAGUCUAGACCCAUUAAAAGCAUACCCCUUCUAAUGUGCACAAUCUAAGCUCCCACGAUCUACAACCCCAGACUUUGCAAACAUAGAUUGGUAGAUAGAUUGAUAAGGUGGAUAGUUUGAUGGAUGGCACAGAGAGUUUAAGGGCUAUCAUCAGCGGUGGAGGUCAGGUGGGUCUCUGAGCUAAAGGACUCCAUUUUCCCUCCCUAUGUGGAAC
rnacentral:lncRNA from 1 species